rnacentral:rRNA from 1 species
UACAGAGGGUGCGAGCGUUGUUCGGAAUUAUUGGGCGUAAAGGACGCGUAGGCGGUGCGGUAAGUCACCUGUGAAAUCUCCUGGCUCAACUGGGAGCUUGCAGGCGAAACUGCCGUGCUGGAGUGUGGGAGAGGUGCGUGGAAUUCCUGGUGUAGCGGUGAAAUGCGUAGAUAUCAGGAGGAACACCUGUGGCGAAAGCGGCGCACUGGACCACAACUGACGCUGAGGCGCGAAAGCUAGGGGAGCAAACAGG